AAAAAGCAGUAUAAAUAAAGUUGGCUUGCGUUUGAGUUGUAGAAAAAAAAUUUCAGUAUUAGAAAAUUUAGAAGAAAAUUUCGUUUCGGUAAUGGAUGUGAAAAAAACCAGACUAGGUAAUUUUACCAUGCGUGAAAAAUUGAAUCUCCUAGCAAAAUUACAGUUGAAAGAAACCAAAGGAUUAUCGAAAAUAAAAAAACCAAUGCGGUGAGUUCAAGGCAGAAGGAGGAAUGCUGGAAGAAAAUUGUCAACGAAUUGAAUAGUGAAUGCACUGGAGAACAUAGAAAUGUCAACUCCGUGAAAAGUAUCUGGGAAAUUAAAAAAAAAAAAAAACUCGCAAGCAUUAUGCUGCAAUCCGCCAAGAAGAUCUUGCAACAGGUGGUGGCACUAUGGAUAUAAAAGAAGAUUCAUUACUGAAUUUAGUAUAAGGGCGAUAAUCCAACUAUCUGUUGAUGGGUUGGUGAAUGUAUUUGAUAGCGAUGCUACUGAAGAGUCUCGAAGAAACAGAGAAAUCGGAUUAGAGUUGCUGGCAACCAAAAAUGCUACGUCAACAGAAAAGUAAAGAGCUGAUGGCAUAUUAAUCCAGUGAGCAAUUAACAUUCGCCGACGUUGAUGCAGCAUUGUCGUCAUCACAUCAUGUCAGCAUCUCGACCUGGUGCAUCGGCAUCACAACCUUAUCCGUCGAUAUUGCUGCCAGAAUCAUCUGUUUUAUCAAACUUGCGACGGAAAAGGAUGCGAGCGGCAACAACAUCGACACAAGUAAAUGUUGUUACUUGUAACCAACAUUUUGCCGCUUUGGCGCAAUCAAAGUUGGAAUUAGUUGAAUUGAUGAAAGCAGAUAUGAGAGCGAAAU